rnacentral:rRNA from 1 species
UACGUAGGCAGCAAGCGUUGUUCGGAGUUACUGGGCGUAAAGGGUGUGUAGGCGGUUAUUUAAGUUUGGUGUGAAAUCUCCCGGCUCAACCGGGAGGGUGCGCCGAAUACUGAAUGACUUGGAGUGCGGGAGAGGAAAGUGGAAUUCCUGGCGUAGCGGUGAAAUGCGUAGAUAUCGAGAGGAACACCGGUGGCGAAGGCGGCGAUCUGGACGAUGACUGACGCUGAGACGCGAAAGCGUGGGGAGCAAACAGG